GACGAACGCUGGCGGCGUGCUUAACACAUGCAAGUCGAACGGACAGGCCCUGCUUUUGUUGCGUGCUCGAUUGGCGAACGCGUGAGUAACACGUGAGUAACCUGCCCUUGACUUUGGGAUAACUUCAGGAAACUGCGGCUAAUACCGGAUAUGAUCUCCUGCUGCAUGGUGGGCGUUGGAAAGUUUCGGCGUUUGUGGAUGGACUCGCGGCUUAUCAGCUUGUUGGUGGGGUAGUGGCUUACCAAGGCUUUGACGGGUAGCCUGCAUGGGAGGGUUACCGGGCACAUUGGGACUGAGAUACGGCGCAGAAUGGUACGGGAGGCAGCAGGGGGGAAUAUGGCAGAAUGGGCGGAAGCCUGAUGCAGCAACGCCGCGUGCGGGAUGACGGCCUUCGGGUUGUAAACCGAUUUCGCCGGUGACGAAGAGUGAGUGACGGUAAUGGGUAAAGAAGCACCGGCUAACUACGUG
rnacentral:rRNA from 1 species